GCUAACGUCCGUCGUGAAAAGGGAAACAACCCAGACCGUCAGCUAAGGUCCCAAAAUCCUGGUUAAGUGGGAAACGAUGUGGGAAGGCUCAGACAGCUAGGAGGUUGGCUUAGAAGCAGCCACCCUUUAAAGAAAGCGUAAUAGCUCACUAGUCGAGUCGGCCUGCGCGGAAGAUGUAACGGGGCUCAAACCAGGUACCGAAGCUACGGGUGUCACCUUAGGGUGACGCGGUAGAGGAGCGUUCUGUAAGCCUGUGAAGGUGAGUUGAGAAGCUUGCUGGAGGUAUCAGAAGUGCGAAUGCUGACAUGAGUAACGACAAUGGGAGUGAAAAACUCCCACGCCGAAAGACCAAGGUUUCCUGCGCAACGUUAAUCGACGCAGGGUUAGUCGGUCCCUAAGGCGAGGCUGAAAAGCGUAGUCGAUGGAAAACAGGUUAAUAUUCCUGUACUUCCGGUUAUUGCGAUGGAGGGACGGAGAAGGCUAGGCCAGCUUGGCGUUGGUUGUCCAAGUUUAAGGUGGUAGGCCGAACACUUAGGCAAAUCCGGGUGUUCAAGGCCGAGAGCUGAUGACGAGCGUUCUUUAGAAUGCGAAGUGGUCGAUGCCAUGCUUCCAGGAAAAGCUUCUAAGCUUCAGAUAACCGGGAACCGUACCCCAAACCGACACAGGUGGUUGGGUAGAGAAUACCAAGGCGCUUGAGAGAACUCGGGUGAAGGAACUAGGCAAAAUGGCACCGUAACUUCGGGAGAAGGUGCGCCGGCCAGGGUGAAGCAUUUACUGCGUAAGCCCCGGCUGGUCGAAGAUACCAGGCCGCUGCGACUGUUUAUUAAAAACACAGCACUCUGCAAACACGAAAGUGGACGUAUAGGGUGUGACGCCUGCCCGGUGCCGGAAGGUUAAUUGAUGGGGUUAGCGCAAGCGAAGCUCUUGAUCGAAGCCCCGGUAAACGGCGGCCGUAACUAUAACGGUCCUAAGGUAGCGAAAUUCCUUGUCGGGUAAGUUCCGACCUGCACGAAUGGCGUAACGAUGGCGGCGCUGUCUCCACCCGAGACUCAGUGAAAUUGAAAUCGCUGUGAAGAUGCAGUGUAUCCGCGGCUAGACGGAAAGACCCCGUGAACCUUUACUAUAGCUUUGCACUGGACUUUGAGCUUGCUUGUGUAGGAUAGGUGGGAGGCUUUGAAGCGUGAACGCCAGUUUGCGUGGAGCCAUCCUUGAAAUACCACCCUGGCAACCUUGAGGUUCUAACUCAGGUCCGUCAUCCGGAUCGAGGACAGUGUAUGGUGGGUAGUUUGACUGGGGCGGUCUCCUCCCAAAGAGUAACGGAGGAGUACGAAGGUGCGCUCAGACCGGUCGGAAAUCGGUCGUAGAGUAUAAAGGCAAAAGCGCGCUUGACUGCGAGACCCACACGUCGAGCAGGUACGAAAGUAGGUCUUAGUGAUCCGGUGGUUCUGUAUGGAAGGGCCAUCGCUCAACGGAUAAAAGGUACUCCGGGGAUAACAGGCUGAUACCGCCCAAGAGUUCAUAUCGACGGCGGUGUUUGGCACCUCGAUGUCGGCUCAUCACAUCCUGGGGCUGAAGCCGGUCCCAAGGGUAUGGCUGUUCGCCAUUUAAAGUGGUACGCGAGCUGGGUUUAGAACGUCGUGAGACAGUUCGGUCCCUAUCUGCCGUGGACGUUUGAGAUUUGAGAGGGGCUGCUCCUAGUACGAGAGGACCGGAGUGGACGAACCUCUGGUGUUCCGGUUGUCACGCCAGUGGCAUUGCCGGGUAGCUAUGUUCGGAAGAGAUAACCGCUGAAAGCAUCUAAGCGGGAAACUUGCCUCAAGAUGAGAUCUCACUGGGAUCUUGAAUCCCCUAAAGGGCCGUCGAAGACUACGACGUUGAUAGGUGGGGUGUGUAAGCGCUGUGAGGCGUUGAGCUAACCCAUACUAAUUGCCCGUGAGGCUUGACCA
rnacentral:rRNA from 1 species